AGUUGACCUAAGGUUAGAAGAACCACGAAAUAAUAGUGGAACUGGUGUGAAUCCAUCUUACACACUCAAAAACAAAUGACAUGAAUAGCCUUCACCAAACAAGCACAGCAGAUGCCACGGCUGAUCUUGAAUCCUGCCUUUUUCAGACUAUAGAAGAGGCACCGUCGUUUCUUGCUGAACGCGGCAUCUAAAACCAGCGUCUCUCGAAUCCUUUCCUUUCAAAAUUCAACAUCGUGGAGGGAUUUGAAAUUUACCGAUACAUAUCGCACACAUAAAGCGAGCGCAUUUUGCAUUUCAUUUAGACUUUCUUCGCCGUUUGAGUUAAGUUUGACUUCAUUGUCUGCUGAAAAUGCACUUGCAGUGGGUUUAACGUGGCCUUUUUUUGGAAGCGUUUGGCGGUGCAAGGCGAAGUUUUCCGCUGCCAAAGGUAUAACUUCAUAAAGUCAUCUACCGAUUUGUUGCUGCUGGUUAAGAAGCAAGCUUUUGUCAACAGGGAAGAGUGCCAGAUAUGAUCGCCGUUUAGUCUUCCGCCGUGGGCUGGCUCCACAGAUAACUAUACAACUUUUAUAACUGGACACCAUCUCAAUAUCCAUUUCUCUCCUCAACCUAUUACUCUAUUUUGCAAACUACCACCGCGGCUGGGAGGACGCUCCGUUUCUCAAUGGUGAUCUGAACAUUCCACUUUUUCCACACUCCUCUUUCAAGAUGUACAGACUUUUGCAGCUUUUUGAAACGUAAAUUUUAGUUUGAACUUUUAUAUGAGUGGUAAGAUCUUCGUGUGUCUGUUUGAACAAUAUUGCAAUGUUUCUUGGGUUUUGUCCUUGUGAAACAAUUGAUUUCAUUUCACUGCCGAUAUAACAUUAUCUGAUGUUAAUCUAACCUCAAAAACGUCGACAAUUGGGUACUUUGCAUGGUGUAUUAAGGCGUUGUGUAUCUUAAACAAAUGUGGAUAUGGUACACCUCUGCAUUAUUUAUACUUAGUAACCUAACGAUUACUUGUGAUCACCAGCCCCUCUUUCUCUUCCCAUCUCCCUCUCUCCCCCUCUCCCUCUCCCUCUCUCCCUCUCUCCCUCUCCCUAGCCCCAGCUAGUAUCUAGCUACAUAUGAAUGCCGGAUUGAGGGAAACAUUUCAGAUAUGAUAUGAAAAUGGCCCGACUUACCGCAAUAAUACUGUUGGUCCCCGCUCCAAGAUGUCUUUGCUGACCGGGCUUGUAUAAAGAGCGAAGACUAAGGAGAAAAUAAGCAAAUCUAUGACCUGGGAAAUCGUUACAAAAUCGAAUUUAUUGCACACGACCUCUGAGCAAAUCGACAGACUAUUCAAGCAAUGACAGAAAAAAGUAACAAUAGUGUCAAAAAUCAGGAAAUACAUUUUUCAUGAAUAAUAAUGUAUUAGAAAUAACACCAAACAUGAAUAUUUAGUGAAAAUAUUUAAAAUGUUUUGCCAUGUUCACCCAGUCAGAUUUUAGACUGAGGAUAUAUUUCUGAAAAUAAUAUGUUACUCAUUUGUUAAUCAUUAAAUAUAUUUGUAUACCAUACAUAUUUCCGGGUAUCUGUCCUAAGGUGGUCUUCAUAUUAAAAGUCUGUUACCACAUUA